GGUUGUCAUUGGUAGAGAAAUUACUAAUGCUGCUGGUGGAGAAAGUAAAUCCAACUUUUAUCUUCUACUGUUAUUGUCCUUGGCACAGGAUGUGAAGAGAUCUACCACGGCUUGUGUUGCUGAAAAGCUCACGCGAGGAAUCCAAAUGAGUGUUGCUGAAGCCCUUUAACUACAGACAGGAGCACUCGCACUCGCAUUCGCAUCAUCGGCUGCUGCUUACGACCGAGAGCAGACAAAGGACUUGGGAUCACGAGCUACUGGCGAGAGAUGCCAAUGGCCCCAUCCUACCGAGGACCGUAGCCAUGGUGUAGCGGCGGCCGUCAUCUUGGACUUGAGCAGCCGAGGGGAAGAGAGGAUGCCGGUGGAGGAGCGUGCAAGGAUGCCGGUGGAGGAAGCGUGCACGCUCCUCCACCAUCAGCCCCACCUCGUGGGACUCUCACUGCCGGACACCGAAGAAGAAGAAGGCGUGUAGCGAGUUGCAGUCGGCAUGGUAAAAAAUGAAUGGGCUUAAAAGCACGGAGAUGCCAGCAGUCAGGUGGCGCAGCGCUGCUCCACCGACCCCACGCACAGCUCAGAAGCAGCGAUAAGCUGCAGUCGCAACACCUCGCGGUGCGCCCACUCAUCUUUAACAGGACCAAGGAGACUGGAGCCAUUUACAUGCUCUGUUAGGACUGCCUACUUUCCAUGUCAAAGUCGCUUGCUGGUACAUCGAUCAAGCCCACCAACCAUGGCAGUCGGAUUCCAACCAUCAUUUUGAACGUGAGCAUCACCAGUCAGGGAGUACAAUAAUUAGGGUGACUUCGAACCCUCAGCUCACAGUGAAGUGGGGCUGGCUUCCUCGUGGGAUGUAGUCGACCAUAAAACGAGCCGCCUCCUCCUCCUCCUCCUCCUCCGUCUACCCAGACUUUGUCGAGUAGCGGAAGCAUGCACGGAGGUGAUCAGCCUCGGGUUUGAUCCUGUCUCGCUGUCAGUAACAGAUGAAGCUUGUCGUUUCCUGGGAAGGUCUUUUGCCAUAAAUGAGAUGUCAGAAUCCAAGAAUGUUGCUGUUUUCCUCCUGGAAAGACUGAAGCCCAGCUGCGGCUCCAGACUUCAUGAACAACGUACAAGGGUUUGUGACCUUCAUGCCAGUGUACAGUUGUCGGUCGGGGCCGGUGGCAUUUGGAGGGUUAAUCGCCAGUAUUCUGCAAGUAAUGAAUCCAGGUUCUGUAGCUCUGUGGGUUGCUGGUGGGAUUCUGGGAGAACGGAACAUGGGGAGGGAGUGCAGCAACAGCAGAUGGUUGCUACUGCUCGCUGUUAUCAACAGGAGAAACGAGAUGUAGGUUUGAAGGGUGCUGCCACAUGCUGUUGUACGUUGCAGAAGCCAUUAGAGCUGCUUCCACUCCUUGAUCGCGUUAUCUGUUGCUGUGUUUGCGUCCUUUUGCCAAGGACGAUGCCACACUUCCUGCUCUGGAAUUCUGAUGCUUGAGAUACAGCCACUGGACGUCGCCGUAUCUAUUUGCUGGAGAAGGAAAAGGGGCACCGGUUGUUCUUCAGCUGUAGAACACCCGUAGGAGGAGGUGGAGGGCUUCUGUAUACGACCGAUUCUGAAAUAAAUAUCUUAUUGUGAUA